rnacentral:rRNA from 1 species
AGUAAAUAGAUACCCUGGUAGUCCACGCCGUAAACGAUGUCGACUUGGAGGUUGUGCCCUUGAGGCGUGGCUUCCGGAGCUAAACGCGUUAAGUCGACCGCCUGGGGAGUACGGCCGCAAGGUUAAAACUCAAAUGAAUUGACGGGGGCCCGCACAAGCGGUGGAGCAUGUGGUUUAAUUCGAUGCAACGCGAAGAACCUUACCUACCCUUGACAUCCAGAGAACUUAGCAGAGAUGCUUUGGUGCCUUCGGGAACUCUGAGACAGGUGCUGCGUGGCUGUCGUCAGCUCGUGUUGUGAAAUGUUGGGUUAAGUCCCGCAACGAGCGCAACCCUUAUCCUUUGUUGCCAGCGGUUAGGCCGGGAACUCAAAGGAGACUGCCAGUGAUAAACUGGAGGAAGGUGGGGAUGACGUCAAGUCAUCAUGGCCCUUACGAGUAGGGCUACACACGUGCUACAAUGGCGCAUACAAAGAGAAGCGACCUCGCGAGAGCAAGCGGACCUCAUAAAGUGCGUCGUAGUCCGGAUUGGAGUCUGC